CAGAUAACGACGCUCUGCGUUUCCAUCUCGCUGAGCGCGUACGUGGCACUGUUCUGCCUGUUCUCACCCAAGAUCUACAUCAUCCUGUGCCAUCCGGACAAGAACGUGCGCAAGCUGACCAUGAACAGCGCCACCUACAAGAAGGCGCCCACCAGCAGCACGUGCGGCACCUCCGUCAACCACGGCACCUGCGGCACCGGCAGUUCGGGCGAGCAGCUGAAGUUGAGCCUCGCGCAGCGACCGGCCAAGGGCGCAGUGGACGGCGGGGGCGUCGAAGACAGCCUCGCCUCGCUCUGAGGUUGGGCCCGCUGCGCCGCCAGCCUCCUCCUCGAGCCGGAGGAAGAGGCCCUCCUCAUUCUAGAACCAGGGGCCGCAGCCCCCCUCCUCACACACCCGUCAGGCGCGGCGGUCGUGGUCACGGCUGCGGCGGCUCGACCCGUGUCGCCGUCACCUCGGAGCCACUGUCCCGCAGGGCCGCAACUCGCCAGCCGACGACAGGCCGCUGGUACCCUCUGAUGGCGGCGGAGGAAGCAACAAAGUCGCCGCCGCUCCCGCCGGGAAACCUUCUUCAAGCCCAAAUCAAGAUAGAAAGCUAUUUAUGAGAGGAAGCCUACAGCUACUAACUACAACCACUUUUGGCUGCGGCUAAUGGUGCCGCAAACCAACUGUAUUCUAUUCUGCACGCCAUCAUCAAACGUCUUCCGAGUGCUGUGUGCGAGCGAGAGAGGUAGAGAGACCGCUUAUGUGAAACGAAACGCGAUUGACAAAGAAAAAAAAAAAAAGACGCAAGAAGCAGGAGGCACCGGCCGUCCAGCGCUGCCUGGAGUCGCCCACCUCCGCUCGACCCCAGUCUGCAUGUGUAGUGUGGUGUCAUUAAGCCGCUGCAAGUAUACGCUCUUCUGCCACGAGAUGGUGUGGACACUGCUGACGGUGGUGUCGUCGUUCGCGGAGCGGUGGAGCCUUGACCAGACGCUUCGCUAGGCCGGUGUGCGUACACCACGUGCACAAACCACUCCGACGACGACGACUGCGGUGCUUGUGGUGCUUCUCCACGCGGACAGCCAGCCGGACCCGCGGUGCCGAUGACGCUGCGUACGCGUCGCUUCCGGUUCCGGUGGAGCGGAAACCCUACCGCCCCCGUGCGCGCGUGUACGCACGGCUCUCACCGGCCGCGCCUACACCAGCACCAUCACCUUCCAUCUAAUCUCUCCGCAACAUGCAAGCCCGAUAGCAGUUUGGUAUAUUCCAGCUCCUCUGUAGGGAGCAUCUCUCUUCUUUUUUUUUUUUUUCUACGCGAAGAGGAACAAAAAAAGAACAAAAGCGAGUGGUGAGCUUGAGCUGGUUGACCAGGUGACGGCCGUCAUUCUGAGACCUUUUACUCGAUCGAUCGUUUUUGGGCAUACCAAUUUCGGUGCGCGCUGAUUGGACCGACCAUGAGCUAUCUUGUAAAGCCAUAUUGUUUUUGAACGAUUGACCAUUUGCCCGUGGCUCCAGCGAGACGUGUCGCUAUAGACGUGGCGUUACGCAAAAGUUUCCGCGAAAGUAAUCUGUCGGCGAUACUGCCUCUGGCAUCGUGCGAUAGCUUUGCGUGUUUUUGAGGGCUUCUCCCAAACUGUCUGGAGAGUUCUGCGUGAGCUCGGCUGAAUGAUGACUACAAGCCGCACGACGAUCGGGCACUCGAAAAGGUUGUCGUAUGGGUGACAGGUUGCGGAAUGACGUAUCCGGACCGGGUAACCUGCGAAGGCUUACAAGCUCUAUAACUUAAGAUAAACGAGAACUAUCGCCUUCUUAUAUGCGCAGGAAAAAAAAAAAACUUUCCGGCGCGAAACUCGGCGCGCUCGCAUUCUUCACAGCAAAGCAGAUUCUUGAAAUAUGAAGAGCAUGCAGAAUGUCAACGGGGUCUCUUACUUAAAUAGAAAACACCGAAGAUGACAGCCACUCAAUGUGAACAUCAUGGGCUCUAUGGGUUUUGUGUGGACAUCAUGGGGUUUUUUUCGUAUUUCUGGGUAGCAGGUGCAUUAUUAUUUGUGCUGUCCACUGAAAAUUAAUUGAUUGAUUUCCUUAAACUUAACGGCAUCAGUGUACCACUUAUUGCGCCUAUACGGAUAUCAUAGCUCUUCAAUUCCGAGCUUCCCUUUGCAAAAACGUAUUGAGACACAAAGCGAUAAGCUCUUGCAACAGUUGGGUCCAACAGCAUCAAAGUAUGAACACGCUGAAGUGCACAGCCUGCACCGAAGACACUUUCUUGUACUUGAUGGAGCGACUGAAAGGCAAUAUGGAACAGCUAACACCUUUUCUUCGAGCAGAACCGGCGCAGACGGGGAGACACGCAUCUUACAUGUCUCCAGGUUCUCUGUGCCGGCGUUAGGGUUUCACACUGAACGCCGUCUCAGUCCUCAAACUUUCCUUCCCUCGUGAAAUUGAAAAUACUACCGCUUCGUCACCUUUGUUUUAUUAUUAUUAUUAUUAUUAUUUCUUUUUCAGGAAGAAGCCAUGCUGUUUUGUUUCAAGCAACUCUAAUCGCAAUGUUGUGCGCACCGACUUCGUUUUUAUUAAGAUUGCAGAGUGGCUCAGUGCAAGGCAUCCUGCACCGUUUAUUGAGGACACCCUAUCGCGGUUUCCUAACCGCUAGAAAGAUGUGAGCACGCCGAGCCGCGACCUCCGUUGUUGCACUUUCUGCGCGCAAUCACUCUAGUUGAACUAUAUUUGCAGCAUUGGUUGCGCCUGGGCCUUCACCUAGAGUUUAAAGGCAUAAAAGCCAAAUGUGUUACUUGAGUCAUUUAUUCUUCAAAUGCCUUCAUUCGCUGUCUUCACGUGUGUGAGUGCGUUUAUUCCUUCUCUUUGGAGUAUUUUCGUCGAAGUCAGGGUUGUGUUAUUAAGGGUUGUCACCGAAGGUAGCGGUUGACUCAGUGUAUGUUCUCAUCUACUUCCAAUGCAAGCGUUUAUAAUACUCGCCAUUUUAUCGCUAGGUCCAGUUUAAGAGUAGAAAAAGAAACAUGUUGUAGUAUACGCGGGAGAAGCGAAGGUACCGACUAAUAAUUGCAGCCUGCCUGUCACAAUUCCUCGUGAAGAUAAAACAGAAUUUCUUUAUUAUGUGUCAAGUAAAAGCUAAGCCAUCAUACGCAUAUCUUUUUUUUUUUGUGCAUCUUUUCUUGAUCCCGAAUCUCACGUUGAUAUUAUUGUUGCAUUUCUUCAUGUACGAAAGUAUCUCACCUGAACAACUGGAGCAAUCAUGUCAGUGACGGAAUGAGAAUGGCGUCUCCUCCGUGCUCAUUAUUUUAUUUUUCCCACGUCGUUACACAUCCGUGUGUGUCGAAUGUUCACCGUAUAUCUAGUCCUCAGUAUUAUCUAAUCAUUCCUGCACAUACCGUUCGCCAUUCGCAGGGCCGGUUGAUGUUUGUUAUCCUUUAUUUUCGUUAAGUUUAGCGGUUUUCCAACAUGAAAGCGAAAUCAUGGCUGACGCGAAUACUUCGUCGCGCCUCGAGAUCUCGGAGGCCAUUGUAGAACACUGCAGUUUGUUGAGCAAAAGCUGGGGGUGACUAAUUUGAACAAGCAAAGGCGGAAAUGAAGAAUGCGUGAAAUAUAAACAAAGAUAUCGCGUUGUGAGCACAAGUUAGGCUCGCCGUAAUAUCUCAAAUGCAGUGAAUUCAUGCACAUCCGACGUAAUCUUAUUGUCUGUGUGGAAGCGCUGUUUCUUGUUAGCGGGAGAGCGAGACGAAAGGGCUCCGCAGCAACGACUCCCUCCGAGUAACAAAAACUAAUCUCGAAGCCUAUGCUUUUGCUAACUGCACGCGCCGGAAGCGAUUGCUGGAGCCGGAAACACAUCAUAGCCGCCAUGCUUUGGACAUGAUUUAUUAGUGUUUUGUUUUGUCUCGUGAUGAAAAGCUCUCUGCAGUCUCCGGUUGGGGUCGAGCUGACGCAAUCUAGGCGUCUCAUGCUGCCUCAUGCUGUCUCGAGAACAACAAGAAAACAGGCAAUCACACGAGCACAAGUAUGUAAAUCUAACUGUUCCAGCAGCAAGCUACUACAAGACGAGCGGAGUUGUGCGAUUUACUCGAACCGUCGAAGUUUGCUUUUAUGUAUCGAAGUUGACUGUGACAUUUGCUGUACGCGUUGCGCGAAAAGAAAAAAAAAAGCAUGUGGUCCACCUGCUUUGGCCAGCUUUAAUUUGUUGUUCCAGAUGCUAGGGACCACCACAUUGACGAGCCACACAGUGUCUAAUUGCUUCUUAAAGGCAAAGAAAGAAAAAAAGCAGGGAGGGGGAUGUCCAUGGGAACCAAUCGCCAUUGCUUUACCGUUUCGCUAAACGUCGUUUUGACCGUCCUACGAACUGAGCUCGUGGUGUAUGUGUAAAUGUCAUACCGACAAGAGCAAGUUUUCGAAAUAUAAGAAGUGGCAUGCCCAGAACGAUUAUUACAUCUAUAGGGUCCAUUCUUGGUCGUGCCUGCAGCUUUUAAGAAAAUAAUGUGUAUCUGUGUUCUGUGAGCAUUCUGCAAGAACAUGCGGAAUAGGGAGUCGCCACUGUAGGGUCACCGAACGGGCCCACGUUGAAAAUUUCGUAAGUCUUUAGUAUCGCCGAGGUGAUGCAUGAGUCACAUCCCCCUCAUCACCUCAACGACUGUUUUAGUCCUGUUAAUCCGGUGGCAUUAAAUAUUCUGGGCGCUUUGUUGUCAUUGAUAGGGUUGUCUGUGAUCUUUAUCGUGCCCCCCCACCCCCUUCCCGAUUUCAGCAAUAGACGCAAGAAUAGACUGUCGGGCCAGUUAUUUCAACACGAACAACUUGCAGCGCACGAUAACCAGAGAACGCGAGACACAAACGCUCAUACAGCGCUGAAUGCGUGUCUCUGUCUCGCUUUUGUCUCGUUAUCGUGCGCUUCGAAUUAUUCAACAAUAUACAAAGUGUGCGUUUCUCUGUUCUGCGAAGCGCUAACCUUGAGCUUACCGUCACUAGGAUUCUCUUGGAUAAGCGCUGCAGUUUACGCCCCCAAAAAUAUGCUUGAAUCGCCGUGUUUUCUGAAGACGAUUAUUUCCGUUAGUUUUUCGUUGUCUUUCAUCUCUUUCUGUACGUCCAUACCUUAAUACACGCUGUUGUCGCACAGCCACUACAAAGCUCGAACAUGUUGAUUCCAAUACUGAGCGAUCAAAGCAAUUAGUGCUACUGUAUUAAUCCUCUUUGAUUUCUCCUAAAUUUCAUAACAUCCGACCGUAAUCACGGGCUUUCUGGGUUGAAAUUCGCAUGAGCAGCAUGACCGCCUCGCACGCCACUUCUAGGAAAAUUCGCAGUUUCAAAUGGCCGUGCACAAUUGGCAACAGUGGCCCUCCGCGCACCAAGUUUUCGAUGUAGUCCUUCGUUAUCACAAUGCGAGAAGACAUCAGGCCAACAAAAAAUCAUCGUAUACACGAGGAGAACCGUUCAGUCACGAAACGUACAAAAAGAUGGUUUCCCUUUUUCUUUUUUUUAUCUCCGCGCAGAAACUACACUCGUAUCACAGCGUAAUCUAUAUUUUUGAAGCUGUAGUGAGAGUGUGAACAAGGUGUCCCAAUCCUUCUUACAAAAGUCGUUCAACAGUAAUGUGUAUGUGUCUGGGCGUGCGUUUGCCUGUGUGUGUGUGUGUGAACAUUUCCCUACCAGGGGCACUGACUUUGGUUUCGACGAUUCUAGGCUGCUUCCUUUUGUGUAGACAGCGGCAAUAUUUAACCGAAAUUGCUAGGCACAUUUUUUACUUCAGCGAGACAUUUUCUGGACUGAGCUGGACUCGACUUAUCGUACACAGAUCAUAGUUUGUGUCACCCUUCUUAUGCAUAGUGUGUUUGCUAAGGGAAUUAUAUAAUCAAAUCAAACCUCGUUAGACUAUCUCUCAAGCACAAUAUCACCCCGCUUCUCAACGUGAAAAUUCUUAUAGGCAUCCCUUGCCAGGUGGUGUUUCGUUAGAGCUGCUUUACUUGCCAGUUUCACCACCGUCUCCCCCAAUAAGACCCAUCUCGUGGCCUGGUCGUUUUGUUGCGUUCUUUAAAGUUGGUAUUCGUUUGCGUGCGCAUUCGUAACCAGCGUCUUUCGUACGGUACUCAUUAUUCGUAUACUGAUAAAUGCCGCAGUCGUCAAAGCCACUGAAGUACGAUCAUAAAUCGGGCAUUAUUUUCGCUUUCCCCUUACUCUUACUCGUAGGGUAGCAAACCCUACAGGUAACACGUACGUCUGUCCGACUUUCCUGCAGUCCAUUUCUUUGUCUCUCUAUCUGCUUUAAAGCAGGUCCACUGCAGUAGACGGCAGAAAAAAAAGUUCCAUGUAAUACGCUCUCAAAACUCCCGAAUUACUGGCUUCGCCUGUCGUUUAAAGUAUGUUAUAUGUAUACAUAGCUCUCCAACGGAGAGCAGUCCCUCGUUGCAACGUGCUGUGUGCAAGACCACCUGCUGGGAUCGGAGUGUCACGUGUAUUGAACUGUAUCUCGUAUUUGAUUCUCUGCGCUCCUAUAUACAUAUACGACAUGCACAUGUGUAUUCCUAAGGAAUGUGAUAAUAAUACGCAGUUUCUGUAACGUCGAACCAUCUUGAUCCUUCUUAUAUAGCGGCGUGGGGACCUCGCCGGGCUCAAAACGCGGAACGAUGGUGAGUCUUGAAGAUUGAAGAUGGAAGUGACAUCGCGGCACCACAAAUAAAAUUGGUUGCCCAGAACUAGAAUAUACUUGAAACUAAAAUUUGUCGCAGUCGAAACUCUGGGAUUUCGCUUCAGAUACAUGGAAGCCAAUUGAACCAUCACUUUAUCACUUUAAUGAGUCACAUUUAUUUAUUUAUUUAUUUGAUAUACCCUCAGGGCCGGAGAAUUACAGAGGGGAGGUAGGUGCCAACGCGUGAAAACAAAUUUGCGCACCGAAAUCACGCAACGUAAAUCAAAUUGCCAAAAUGUGCGCUUGUUACGGCUUAUAAGUAUUUGCGGCUUAUCGCUGGACUGAUUUGCCUUGAGUAAGAUUGUUUUAAAUAUUACAAAGUAUCGUUUUAUUCGGAACUAUUACUUUUUUUUCCACCAUCUUCGUCAAAGGCCUUUCAGGAAAACAGUAAUUGUGUCCUAAACGCUGGUAACGGCGGACGUCAUCAUUUUAGUGUGCUGUGUGGUGACGUCACUUCCUCUCUCCCUUUUCUCGACACUCCGAAACCGUCGUUUCGGUGGGGAGUGGAGGCCGCACUCCGACGCCCGGUUCGUCGCCGCAUCGGUCCCGUGUGAUCCGCGACACGUUGUCGGUACCCGUCGUCACUUCUCGGUUUUCUUACACCCUGCGUUUCUGCGUGAGCUACCUCGUACCUGCUAAUGUACUCUAUUCUUAGAUAUAAUCCAAGCGAGUCUUCGUUGCAUAAUACCACGAGUAUAAGGUGCAAAAGGGCCGCUGCCACAUUUUUAAAUGCGUUUCAAGCCUUUCCGCCGGCGAGCUGCGUGACUUUGUACUCUAUACAAGAAUACGCAAACUGAAGCGAAUAAGUUAGACGGCUACAAUACCGCCUGAUUUGUUUUCAUUACAUUGUCGUCACUCACUAAUCAGCGGCAACGAAUAAUUUUCGUUUCAUUCCUGAGAAUAGCGCAUCUGUCUUGGACAUUUUGUAGUUUCAACGGUUUCCGACUUGUUCGCGGUGUUGGCGCUUUGGUGACUACUGCAAGGGAGUUAGUUUCUUUUUCUGCGCUACAAAUCAGCAUUGGAGGCAAAUAUACCGAUGCUGCAGUGACUCUAGGCUUUUUUUUUUUUUUUCAUUACGCAGAGUGUGAAAAAGCACUGGGAAUCUGUUCCUCGUUUUUAUGUGCAAUGAGAAUGACAAUUGUUCAUUGUGCUCAGAAAAACGAACUGCCUCGAUUAUUUGACGGAAGCAUUUGGUACCCUCUCUGCUUGUUACUGGCAUUAACGGAUAUUUUAUUGUUUCAUGCUGCCUUUUUGUUGCUUUAAGCAGCAUGAAUAACGUUCCCUAGUACGUGCUCUACUACAACCGUAAGAGUAUCAACUUGAAAGCGCUGGAGGCUGUCUCGUACCAGUGUGUCCACCGUGGACUGGUCUACGUAAAAGCGAGAGUGAGAGUUCCCACUUGGCCAGUUUAUCUAGGAAAAGUUGCACGAGGGUUGUGACUCAAGAUUUUUGAUCUGAGAACAGGGACAGUGCAAACACUCGUGAAGGUGAAAAGGUUUUCGACUUCACAGCUAUUGAUGCCCUUCUUUAAGGCCUAACCAUAUGAGUAACAAUUGCAAGUAAGCGAUUUGUCGUUCUGCCUGCACUCAGGCACCCCUCGACCUCCCCCACCCCCGCCACCACAGAGUGGGAAUCACAGCUUUCUCACAAUACUUUCCUUCAUGUCAGGAGACCCACACAACUCUUCCUAAGGGGGUGACCACUCUAGCCUUCACGAAAACGAGUCCACUUAUCGAAGCAUGAUAUGAAAACCGAGACCGAAGUCUCCCGCACGUCUAAUUCUAACAAGGCACCGCCUUCUAGUUCGCUUUCAACAGGGAAUCUGUUUUACAGGUUGCUUCAAAGAUGCCGAUUUCCUAGCGUUAUUCGUCUCGUGCAUAACAAGACUGCUACGGGUAUAGAGUGUGGUUCAGCUGCUGAAGCGGGUAGUCACUACCGCAGUUCUUCCCUAAUAAGGACGGCAGUAGAUUGCAGAAAGCGCGAAGGCGCUGUUCUGCCCGCGUCGUUUUAAUUUUAAUAAUUGACGCUUAGCUUCUUGAAGCAACGUUAGCCUAUUGCCCAGCCGAGUGAUUUUUUGAAAGUCACAAUGCUAAUGCUUUUGUGGGGUUAGUCGCUGCGAUACAAGUGUAUCACCGCAACGUCGUGAAUAGUUGACGCUUGUUUUGACAUUCACCGAGAAAGGGCAAAAACGACAGGUCUCUGUAGUCGUAAGUACGUGUUUGUAAAGCCGUUUUCUCUCUACUCUCUCUCUCCGUAUUUUUCAGCAUGUUAGUCGCAACCACGUACGCCUCAUGGUUGGAAGAAUAUCUAUAUGCCAAACAGUUUUGGGAGCGCCUACGCUGUAGCCUCGCCGAAUGUACAGUUCAAGAGUUCUUCGACACGGGUCUCUGUACGCUCCUACAAGUCGCUAAGACGUUUUCCCUGCAUGUUUGUGUGUGUAAUUGUUCUUUUUUUAAUUUAAUCGCAAAAGCGCGUGGACAGAGAAAGUGAACGGUUAAGCACUUUAGUUUCACAAAACGAUCAAUUUACUGGUGAGGCCCGACCUGCUGGCCAACUAAUUGACCGUGCACCACUUCGAUGUCAGGAGCAUCAAGAUCUCAAGUAGGCUCCACGUUCGAUUGCGCAUUCGGUACGGAUUGGUAAUUCCAUGCUUACUGAGCACUAAACGGGGUUACGAGGCCUAUUCUUGUUACAUAAAGACGUCAGUAGAAAGUACUGACUGUUAUUUCUCGAAAGUAUUUAUUCAAAAAGUGAAUGUUGUCCUUUGGUGAAUCUAACGUUAGAAUAACCGUAUGGCUUUCGCUAACUCAUUUGAUUGAAAAGAGUAUUGUAAUGGCGGCCCAACCGCGCUUUGCGUAGAAGUAAAAAGCCGUUAACGUUGACGUCAUUAAGAACACUAAACUUAUAGAGGGGAUUGUGAUAUGGCAGCUUAUUUCUGCAAUGCACAUGAAAACGAAGCUGACGGGAGUUUGACUAGUUCACCGGAAUAUGUGGGCAAUUUUUGUGUGAAUUGUUUUUUCACCCUCGCAUUCAGAAAACUAUGCUGAAGAGGACGCUGGAAAACUAUUUAAUCAGCAUUUUGCGAUUUGUCAUGGCGUUUCUAGGUGUACUCCUGAACCUUUAGCUUAUUACUCGCGAGUUGUGUAAAUAUCACUUCGUCCGACAUUCAUGCUGCUAUGCUAUGCCUCCACUGUCUUGCACCAGCCUGUGACCUGUCGCUCGAGCUUUUCAAGUCUGUUCGUGGAACGGUAUGAAUGUGAGUGUGAGUGGCUGUUUUGUAACAAGGCAUGGGACACACUUUGUUUACAGUGAUAGUCACUGUUGUUUGGCGAAUAAAAUACUUGUCGCUUCGCUGUGACGAAAUCUGAUCGCGGCAGCAAUACGAGAUUGCUCUCACAAUUUGCCUAUUGGCUUGCGCAAUAGAGGGAUGGUUUGAAACGGUUGUCAGCAUUCGCGCAGUGCCCUGAAUUUAACGUGUCAAUUGAGAGUCAAUACACUAUAUUGAAGUAUAUUCAUGAGAGCAAACGUCGCCAACCCAUCGAUCAAAGCGUAAUGGUAUACCCGACGACGCAUAUUACACAACUUUCUUUCGUGAUGCCUGAAAUUGGAGAUCGUCUUAGUUAUAAGUAUUCCCGGUGAUAAAAACGCAGGCUGAGGGUCCGGAAAGUGUGAUGAGAUAGUAUCGGGUGAAUAGUAUAAUACUAAUCUUUGGGGCAGGAUAAAUGACUGGCGCCAGAAGAAAGUUGUGUAGGACAAGAUUUCUUCGAGACUUCCACUAAUUCUAAUUUGGCAACGAGUACCUAGCGGAAUACCGUAACGUAGUUGAAUCAACGGUCGUUCGAUAUCGCUUUCAGCUGGCGAAUUUCCAUCAGCAGUAGUUAAAUUUGAUCGCCGUCGUGAUGGGAUUAUUCAUUCAUGCCGCGCUUGUGCUGUUCAUGACUCUUAAAGGUUACGAACAGCGUCUACAGCAACAGCAAUGACGAAGAAGCUAUUAUCAGUGAAAACAAAUAAAUAAGCUCGACGUUACAUUCCCUUAUAGCAGUUCAAAUCGAUUUUUUACGCAUUGCAUCUAAAAAUAAUAGUCGCAAAGAGAAAAUCGACGUCAUAUUUGUUUCUCUUUUAAUUGUGUUCAUGCCGUUAAAUAUGUGGUGUAUCGCGGAAUGCCUUCAAGCUCAGUAAAAUGUUCAGACAACGCGGCCUUGGGAUCUACACUCGCCUUUCAGAUCAGCCUUUAUUGCUCAGUGCCACAUAUUGCGGACAGCUAAUUUAGUUCAAAGUGAAGUAAAUGUUUUUGCGUACAUUUAUGAGGCUGAGGCAGGAUUUUAUUGUGCAGGCGGUAGACAGUUGUGCGCGCGGUUAAUUUAUUCGAACGGACGUGGUUUUGUCAGCUCGCUUGAAUAUAAAUUCAAUACAUUUCAAGCAGUUCACGGUUUCUUACCUGAUCGGGGCAGCUUUUGUACGGCUUUUUUACCUCAAUUCCAUCUGGACAAAGAAAUUCAUUCAUUGCGGACAAAAAGUCCAGCCGAGCAACCAAUAUGGACGGAAUGUCGUUAGUAUUUAUAUGGAAGCCACGUCUGCGAAAACAUGCGAGGUUACUUCAUAAAAAGAAAAAGAAGCUGAGGAGUUCAUAAGCCUGAGGCAUCAGUGCUCCUUGCGACAGCUUCGUCAUUUUUUUUUUUUUUUUGGUUGGCGUAAAUUAAUCACUUCUCCAAGUUACAACCACCCUGGCUGUUCUAAGUAGAACGAAACUGUGAGGUAUCCUGCCAAUCAACCGCAUAGUUGUGUAUUGUGACACCACCAGCUUCCUUCUUUUUUUGGUGUCAUUAUUCUGAGGCACGUUUUCGCGACUGUUGGAUAUUUUUAGGUGAACGUCGCACCUCGGCAAGGACGCACCACAGUCUUCGAAACAACGCUGCCUUUGUGUUUUCGAAGCCACAGCACGCGAGACGCCGUGCUUCUAGGAAUGAAGUGCACUAAUUGCUAAGAGUAAGCCGAUUUUCUGGCUGUCCUAAUGGAUGUUGCUUGCUACGGGGAGUUUUCUUGACGCUUGCAUUCAACAAUGGCCCCAUUAUUGUGCAGCCUACGUGUCCUAUGCCACAUUCUUGCCGUUUGAAAACGACCAAGCCGUUGCUGGUCUUUGUUGAAGUCUUGCGUACAAUUUUACCUGUUCUAGCCACUGCGAUAGAAAACACUGCUUAGUGCUGCGGGCUCGAGUAAGCUAACGUAUCGUUAUAUAGAUUCCAACUCCUCAUUUCACAACCGUCAUACGGACGAUGGACACGGUGUUUCUUUGAUACAUUUCAUUCAUUACUUUGUUAAGGAUGCUUUUUAAAUAUUUUUUUUUUACUCGGUCGGCCAGGUAACGACUUCUUGCGACAAAAGAUCCAGAAAAGAAGUCAAGUCUUAAACGUAACAACUUGACCUGUAGUGUCGACAUGGGCAAAGUGUACAAAGAACAAUGCUUUAAUUACUAUGCAUACUCGCAUAUCUGCCACAACAUGGCUCGGGAAACUCGAAGCUUUAUGUUCUUCGCCGAGUGGUUCAGAGAACGCGGAUCGAGGAAGUUUAUGUUAGCAAUUGCUUAGCCUGGUGACGUCACGAGCUUGAUCCGUAAGCUCUUCUCUUGGCGUUGAAGGUCGCGGACGACUGAGAGCGCGCGCCGACAUUGGUGCCGUCAUUCUUUAUUUUUUUUUUUUAAUGCCACCGAAUAUUUUGUCAUUGUGCGCAAGUGACAUCUCUUGGAUGAUUGAGGCGUCUGCCCUGAUGUUCGUUUUCGUUCGAUUCGGUAUUCUAACCACCGUGUCUUUUAUCCCCACGUUGUGUGUUGGUAGAUUAUAAGUAUUCUCGUGAUACAAGUUAGGCAGCUUAGUCAUUGCCUGAUAUGUACAGGCAUACCACAAACCUUGCUUAACCUUUUUUUUUUUGCAUAAACUGCAAUUUUAAGUUUACAUGUGCAAGAAGCAUACGAAGGGAGGCAUGCCAUAGGCGUGCACCACUCCCGAAUCUCGAAAUCCCGCUCUGAAUAAUGUGUGAACGAACAGGUCAUGUGUCCUCUUCGUUUGUGGAGGCCUCGUGUAGAUAACGGUGACUCCACGAAAAAAAAAAAGCCCGCAUAGUUGCCGACGUUCAGCAUAUACAUAUGUAAGUAUAAAAUACAUAGGGUCUAUACAAUGGGAGGUCCGCACUCCAGCGUGCAUGUGUAUCAGCAGGGUCCCUCGUGCGUGAAACUUGCUAUAUAUGUGAAGUCUAUAUCCAUAUGUGUACAUACCGACUGUAUACUAGUGCUCGUUUAUCGUCUGGCGGAUACUCCACGCGAGAGAACCAUUCUCUGCAGAACUUCAAAGACAGCGUGUCAAAGGUUCGCGUACACUACGUCUGUGUUUGCCUCCCCGUUGAGAAAAAAAUCACUGUUCUUUCCUUGUUAUACAGUUUGAAAGCUUAAGAAGUGUUGUCUUAAGAAGUUAGUCGUCUAGAUAAAAUCUAGCUGUUCACAAACUUUUUCUAUAUGUUUUGCUCUUCGUGUUUCGGAGCCCACGGUGACGACCAAAGAUUGUGCCGCGCCAUUAUCAGCGCGAGCAUCCAAGUUCCCUGUUCAGCGAUGCUUAGUAGAUGCGUACGGUCGGCAUACAGACCGAAGUGAUUUCCAUUUACUCAGUAUUAGAGAGUUUCAGCACACCGCUACCCCGCUCGACCGUGUCAAACACCUGUAAAUUUUGCACGUGCUAGCGAAACCGCGCGUGGUGUAUGCCUGGCGUCACAUAACUAGAACACGAAAAACUGGAAGGUUGGUUGCGGAUGUAUAGCGGUAACCGUAGAUUGAUGGCGGUCAGCUAAAACUCACUAUUGAAGCGUCCCUCGCAUGUAUACGGCGUGAAGCGAGACUACUACGACCUACGUCGAGCCCACGAGAAUACGCGGGCUUGGCUUGGCUUUGCGGCGUUCGCAUGAAAACAAAAGUAUGCCCAUCUAAGUGAUUAGCAUUAGUCUGCCUAGACAAUAUUAUCACCGUAGUUUACGCUUGCAUAGUAAUCUCAUCAUACGAGAGUGCAUGUUCAACAGAAGAGAUAGCGAACGCCCAUGACACGAGCGCAUAACGCUAUCACUUUUGUUUUGCGAAACCCACAACGUCUCCGUUCCUCUGUCAUUAUCAUAGCUCGUCUGAGUGAGGAAGACGCAGUAAAGUCUGAAAGUCGUUCUUACAGAAAAGUAACGCUGCUGAAGGGUUCCGACGAGGGGAAAAAAAAGAAAGUUGUGUAACGUUGCCCACAUUUUGUUCGCGCCUUGCCACAAAUCAAGUGUUAGUGCAAAACCAAGUGUCAAAGUUGUUCCUUGCACGUCGCUCAUAUGUGACUGUGCAGAGUGACGCGCGCAAGCGAGCUUAUGUUGAUGCGCAGUGCUGUUAAACAUCGCACUCGAUGUUCCACCGGUGUAGAGCCGUGUCGUCAGCCAUACCGGCUGGUGUAGUAGAUUUUAGAGGCGCUAACACUAGAUAUCGCUUGAAGGAAACGCUAAAGGCAAAUGUUAAGUGCAGCUAAAGGGAUUGAUCAUUGCUACGCAAUGCCCAAAGCGCUGUUUUACGGCUUGUAAACUGUCGUCGAUCACCGGUAAUGAUAAUGUGGAAUGAUAAUGUGCAAUAAAAUUGCACAGCAAGAAGGGUGACAAUAUUUGGUCAAUUUUAUCAGAUUUUUCUGUAGAUGUCCUGUUUUCGGCACUGAUGUCCUGCAAACCGUUUUAUCGGUGCUAUUCUUCGCAACGUGGGGCCCACCCUGUGCGGUUCGGUUCUCUAGCUCAGCAAGGCAGUAGAGCCCGACAAAGUAUAACAACACACGUUUUUAGGCGUAGCUCGUAAAUCCUGCGCUGCGCUGACGUAUUGAUGACGUAACAAUAUCCGCCCAUCUUAUUGGGCGAUGUGCUAUAUUGAGGAGAUAUGCUGCACUCGAGAGCGAUGUUCUCGAUGACUGUGUCACCUCUUGAAGCAGAAGAAACACUUGAAAUAUUUCCAGGAUCGUAGUCACUCUAGAUAAACAACUGCCUUCAGUGUUCCUUCAUACUUAAUAUAUGCGCAACUGCUGUUUCUGUUAAUACUUUUGUAUUAGUUCAGCCCCACUCAGUUACCGCAUCCGAGCCAGUUUACUUUUUUUUCGGAUUCGUUUCAAAACGCCUCUAAACCACGCUGUACCACAGAUCCUGACGGCAAGCUAGUUCAUAGUGUGCGCUGGUUACAUAUCGAAUUCGUGUAUGCCAAUGCAAACAGUGGUUUUCUUUUUUUGCAGCUAGUGGUCAAGCAUUAUUUAAUUCUAAAUUCAGUUCUUAUUAUGCGUGCUGAUAGUCAUUAUAGUGAAAAGGAUACCGGUGUCAAAUUCUGAAACCUUGAAAUUAGUUCCAAUGUCAUUUGAGUCACCUGUUUCAGAUCGUUUCAGUCACCUGUGUUGGAGGUUAUCGGCUCAGCACGAACACGUUAGAAAAAAAAAAGAAUAACCUAUAACAUUUAUCAACAACUCUGCCUCUAAGCGUUAGUUUUCGUUUUAAUGGCAUAUUUGUCUCUCAACCACUUGACUGAAAUACGUUUGAAACUAGAAAUGCUUUCUUCUGGCAGUGGCAGAGCAGAUUGAAAUAAAAUUUGGUGCAUUUUUAAAAUAAGUGUAAUGCUAGUAACUACGGGAAGCGUAUAUUUUAUUUCAGUUCCCAAUGUUGUCGAGAAGUGCUGUAAGUUGAAAAUUUUCAAAAGCUCGAAGCAUUAAGGUUCCUGCACUGGUCUGUAAUCUUUCACUGAAAAGUGGUCAUGCAAUUCUGUAAAUUUCAUCAUUAGGACCACUUAAGCGGACAUAGCUAAUAUAGUAUGUUAUACCUUGUUCUGAGGUACACCAUCAACUCAGGAAUAACGCGUUUGCAAAGCUCAGUUUAAAGAAGUUAUAAUUUCACGUUAGCAGUGAACCGUAUUUGUCCGAUUCAUACGCUCUAACAGAUGCAAUUUACAAAAUUGUCAUGUUAUGUACAUGUUGGGGUGCUACGUAGUUGCAAAUUUUGUUUUUUAUUACAUUGUUGAUUGGCUGAUUUACUGAUUAUAUUCAGCAAUUUCAGUAAAGGUUUUCAGUGCCUACAUCAAAUAACCACUUCCAAUGGUCCAACAUUUCUCCUUUCUUUAUAUACAAGGUUUAUUCAUAUUGGUUUGGUGGUUGCCUACUGACAACACUUCUACUUUUCAUUCGAAUUUGAAUACAGAAAUUGGAGUCAGCCCUAAGCUGAAACUUCAUCUUAAGUUAGAUGCUCCGAAGUUAUUACGGGGAAGUACCAGUGAAAAGACGCCUUCCUUCCUCUCUUGAGACGACCUGGCAUGUUGUGCGUUGUAGCUUCCAGCUUGUCGUUAAGGCACCGUUAACUACAUGGUGUCAUGUGGUUAGAGCGAAGGCCGUCGGCUUUGCGCUGGGUGUCAAAUGUUGUGGAAAAAGAGACGUAGCAUGUUGGGCUUUACACAUUGUUUUUAGUCCAUGUUGCAGCUUUCACAUUUCUUGCUUGCAGAGUAGCCAGCUUGAUGGCUUACUCUUGUUAAACUCUCUGCCUUUCGUCUCUUUUUUUCUCUCUCUCUGUUCUAUCUUGCUAGUGGAUUUAAAAGGGUCUGUCUCAAAUGAUGUCAUCAAGUGUAUAAUCAUAUGUAUGAUGCUAGAUGAAACGAUGUUGGUGCGACUCGAUUAACUUGUGAACGUUUGUCUGUGCAAAGUUUUGCGUGCGCGCCACGCGUUCACUUGCUGUCGAUCCACAAGUGUGUGAGUGUACGCCCUCGCGCAGGACAUGUAGCUGCGUCUCCCACUGUGUCACAUCCAGUUGCGCGUAGUGCAAAGCUGUAGGUCCCCUAGCCCCAACGCGUUCGUAGUUCCCUUUGUCCGCGCUGUUAGAGGAACUGCCUUGUUCUCAUCCAUGUUGACUAGUCAUUCAGUUAGUUCCUUCAAGACUGUGAAGUUGGCAGCUUGGCUGUGAUGGCCAACUCUCCAGUUCAUUGUUGAUUAGAGCGCUAAGCAACAAAGAGUAGGGUGCUUAUCAGAAUCGGGAGAACGUACGUAGGACCGAUUUUACAAUAGUUGUUGUGAUUAAGACGUCAGAUGGGGUUCAUCGGUGACUCCUGCUCGGCAUCUACGGGCCGAAUGUUAUUCUUUUCGGCCGUAUUUUGUAGCAAUUCUCAUGAUUUUGUCCAUUAUUCUUCUUCUGCCGCGCCGAUACCGACGAUAACGUCCGCACGGUGGUGUACGAGCCAAUGGAGAAAGCUAAAAAAGAAUGAAAAUAAGAUCGACUUCUUGCAAAAUAUGGCCUGAGAUUAACGAAUAGAGACAUAAGGAGAAAACGACGGCACGUUUCUGUACUUACCUUUAUCUUCUUCCAAAUUAUUUUUAGUGUCAUGAGUUCCAAGCCUCUGCCCUCUUUGAGUCUAGCUUACGUGCUAACGAGGUUCCACAAAGAGAGCGUACAUGUUUUCAACUGUGCGUCCCAAUCCUGCCUUCACGUUCACAAAAAACAAAACAAAAAAACAACACAAAACAAAAAAACGCAGAAGGGAAGCAUGACUAUCCUGGCUUUCUUAAGCUCGAAUCCAUUGAAUUCUGUGUUCGUUGGAAAAUAAAACGGUAUUAGUUACAGCCUUUCACGAGAAACCCAAAAGAUAUGGUCUUCAUCUCGGGCAAUUCGUUUAAUUAUGAAGAAAGAAUAUGCUAGUGCGUGAGCCAUUACGUGGAACCAACGCUCUAUGGGGAAUACAAGGGCGGGAAAACGACGACAUACAACGUCGUGUUCGUUAUCAUCUUGCCAGUGUGUUCCGUCUACAAAGCUGUUUCUGCCCAAUCAGGCAAGUCCGCCACAUUCGUCUUCGUGUUUGUACGAAUGGCUAGAUACCCUGUGCCAUUCUAUCCUCACUUUCCCUGUAAACUGUUUGUGUGCGCUCACGUGACAUCUACGACGUCGUGUAGCACCCUAUCUUCAUGUCAAAACAGUUUCCCGCGCUGUAGAGAGAACAGAUGCAUGGCGCGUUUCCCUCGACACUUGUGUCAGGGUCAGUACAAUAUAAGGUGUUUGAUCCCUGUGUUCCCAUCCUGAUGCACGUCUGCACCAUUCCAGUGCAGAACGCUUUGAAAGGUUAAAGAUCGGUGUUUUUCUCUUGUAAAUACAAGGUUGUCCCUGGACGCUCGCGAGGCGUCCACCCGAUAAGUGAGAGAAAGGAAACGGAAGAAGUGUUCAUACCGUGUAUCAUCCCACGUGCGUUAAUCCGCUCUCGGCUCAGCGAAGAUGCCGGUCGUCGCGUUUGUUUGACUCGUUCGUUUCUUUUGUUUUUGUUGUGUCUGUCCACUGAUCCCUCGCUGUUUGCUCCCUUAUUGGGACAACGCGCUGCCGUCUUGACCUGUACAAUUUUCGCGCGCAUACCACUGGGAACGCUGUUCGGAAGUGGUCAUAGCAGGCUCUGUGUUCUUUGAGAGUUUGGUAAAAAAAAAUGAAACUUGUAGCUCACCUCUUGUUAGCCGGUCUUUUGCGGGCCAGUGUGCAUGAGCGCACGGAAGCAACGUUCCGAACCCCGUGUGCGUCGUUUUACGUGUGUGGUGUUUUUUUUUUUUUCUCUCUCUCUCUUUCCAGUGUGCACGUGUGUACGGGGAAUGCGCGUGUUGUUCUCAAAGGAUUGUGUCAAUCUGUCUGUGAGUGUCACAUACUCAGGUCGACCCGUUAUUAUGUGUCCGUCUUCUAAUAAAAGAAAACAAAAAGAACUGAACCUA